rnacentral:rRNA from 1 species
GUCUACGGCCAUGCCACCCUAAACAAGCCCGAUCCCGUUUGCAGGGUCAGGCCUGGUUAGUACUUGGAUGGGAGAUCACCUAGGAAGACCAGGUGCUGUAGACA